CACAAGAGAGACGAGGUCACUGGAGGAUAAACAUCCGUGACUGCACCUCAUGAUCCAUCACGCACGACGGCCGCAGCAUCUCCUGCCAGCUGCCGGCACAGACAAGAGCACGGGAUGGACGACCGCGGUAGCAACGUGGGGCUCAUCUGCCUCUCUCUGAGCAGGAAGCCCCUCAGGCUCACACGGGGAGCCACCAGGCUGGACUGGGUGCAGCUUACGGACGUGGCGCGUGCUGUGGGCGUCGGGCCGCGGCUCCUCCAUGCAGUACUUACACUGCUGUCUGCAGAUCGCACCCAAUCAGGAGGGAAUGGUCCAGGCAGGUGGGCAAGGCCACGGUUUGGCCAGGGUGGUCCUGCGGGCAGUACUGAGCCCGCCCUGCUGGGCACCCCACAGCCCCUGUGGCUCUCCAGCUGCCACUGAGGCCGGACGCCUCAUGAGGAGGCUCCCAUCUGUGGGUGGCAGAAUGACGGCCCCGAAGACCCCCCGCUUCCUCACCCGAAGACCCCCCGCUUCCUCACCCGAAGACCCCCCGCUUCCUCACCCGAAGACCCCCCGCUUCCUCACCCAAAGACCCCCCGCUUCCUUGCCCCGAAGACCCCGCUUCCUCACCCUGGGACCUGUGAGUUCACACAGCAGCGGGGACCUGCGACUGUGGACGGCACAUCAGCUCCCUCAACAGGGAGGCUGCCCUGGGUGACCCGCGAGGGCACAGGGUACCUCCGUCCUGCUGAGUGGAAGAGGGAGGCCAUGGCGGAGGCGGGCGUGAGGGGGACUGGCCUGCCACUACUGGCUUCGUGAGGGGCCCCCAGCCAAGGAGAGGCCUCCCGAAGCCGGAAGAGGCGGAAAAUGGAUUCUCCCAGGAGCCUCCAGAAGGAACCUUGGUGUUGGUGGAAUGGGAUGUGAGAGGACACGCGGGUGAUGUGUCUUGGGUCACACCAGUUCCCGGUCCCCGCACCAGCCCGCCCUGGGCGGGAAGCCUAAGAGGAAUGGAGGGGCCAUCGUGGGGCUCUCCCGGAAACUGGCCCCGGGUGCCUCGGUCCCUGCGUCAGUGCGGGGUUUCGGUGGCCGCCCUGCUGGCUCCGGGCACUCCCUCCGUCUUCCUGCCACGCGGCUGGUCCUUCCUGGGCUGGGCUGAGUCACCCUCCAUGCCCACCCGUCAUACCCGGCAAGAGCUGGGGGCGUGAAGCCAGGCCCAGGUGGGCUGUGGCGGCAUCCAGGUGGAAGGACGUGGAGGACUCGGAGGCGGAGGGGUCUCCAGGGCAGGGCAGGGCCAGUUGCCUGGGGCCAUCUGCUGUGUCCAGGAGCCCGGCGCUGCCACUGGCCUUGCCCCAAGGCCCAGCUCUGCCCUUCAUCCCUUCAGCACCUCCCCGUACCUUCCUUCCAUGGGUCUUAAGCUGUGGCAAGUCCUUAAGCUGGGACGGCCAGCGCCAGCCCUGCCCCCAACAGGUCACUCAGCGGCUCGGAGCCCACGUCCUCCUCGGUGACACAGGAAAAUGGUGCAGUUGUGCAAGGGCAUGAGAGGGUCCCGUGGAAGGCACAUUCCAGAAGGUUCUGUCCCAUGGAAGGCACGUUCCGGAAGGUUCCAUCCCAUGGAAGCCACGUUCCAGAAGUUUCCAUGCUGUGGAAGGCAUGUUCCGGAAGUUUCCGUCCCGUGGAAGGCACGUUCUGGAAGGUUCUGUCCGGUGGAAGGUCACUCUGUGCGGUGUGCACUGACCCCAGCCAGUGGAUGUUCCCCGUCCAAGAGCAAAGCUACAGUCGGCUGCAGGUGCAGUGACUUUUGCACAGUGGAAGAAUUUCUCCAGAAGAUAUUCCUGCAGGUGGAAUCACUGGAUCGUAGGCCCAGAUGUCUUCCACUUACUUGAUUUUGCCUGAUGCCUUCCAAGGAGGCUGUGCACAGCAGGUGUGAGAUGCCCCAUCUCACCAACCGGCCAACAUCCCGAUGGGAGAUGUUGAGUUUUCACCACGCUGCUGAGUGUGACGUGGAAUCUUCUUAUUUUAGCUUGCAUUUCCCUGAUUACAAGUCAGGUGGAACAUCUCGAAUAUGUUUCUGGGCCAUUUGAUUUUCCUGCAAGUCACCUGUUCCAGUUCUUUGCCCAUUUCCUGUUGGGUUGGUCAAUAUUUUUUGUGAUUACACGUUGGAUACGUGGCUGGCCUUUGGCUUGCCUUUGACUUCGUUUGUUCUAUCGAAGCAUGUGCAGAAUUGUUAAAUUUUAAUGUAUUCAAAUGCAUUAAUCUCAUUUCUU
ensembl:lncRNA LINC00304 long intergenic non-protein coding RNA 304